AAAAAGGGUGCGAGUAGUCGGAGGAGGACGCCAGUCCACUAAUCUAUGCGUGGAUUUCACCAUUGCACUGUUGUCGGCACUCCCAUCGCUUUUUCCCUCACCAACUGCACUGCCAAAGAAGCUUGGAAAUGCCAGUGAGACAUUGAUUCAUGUCCUUCAGCCAAGAGAGGAUCCUUCCAUGUAUCUGGAAAAGCGACCUCUCUCCACCCCUGUGCUGCUCUUCGAUGGAUCCAGUUGUGUCCUUGCUGUUGGAAACAUGC